rnacentral:lncRNA from 1 species
AGCAAGAACAACAACAACAGAGCAACAGUAGCAAUAAUAACAAUAGUAAAAACAACAACAAUAACAACACCAUCCACAAGAACAACAACAAGAACAAUAACAACGAGGACAAUAGCAACAACAACAAUAGCUACAACAGAUACAACAUAAACAACAUAAACAACAAUAACAACAACAAUGAAGACGAGGACGAUGAUGAUGACAACG